rnacentral:lncRNA from 1 species
AAGUCAUGAAGGAAAUAAUGUGCAGUGUACACUAUGUGUGCAAACAGCAACAAAGUAGGCAUUGGGCAACGGAAGCCAAUGUGCCUGAAAUUCCUAGAGCCCCAGGGUUUAGCAGGGUAAAUACUGUCAUGCUUGUGUUUACCCUGAGCUGCAAACAGAUCAGAACAAAGUGUAAGGUACAAGAAUUCUCAACACAAUUAUGUGUUUCCCAAUAUGGGUUGGUAAUCUGUGGUGUUAUUUUACUUUCUAACAAAGAAUUCAUCUUGCUUGUCCUCUGGGAACACGGUAUCUUCCUAGGGAAAAAGUCUGCUCUCAGAGAGAAGAGUACUGGUGUUGUAAUGGAGCGGACAAUAUUUAAGCACCUGACCUGGCGAUCUAGAUACAGCCUGUUUCUUCUAUUUGCAAAGCUGAAAGCUCAAGAUAAAACUACCACUGAAUUUCUCAAACCGGUCCUUGUCCCUUGGGCCUCUGUGCCGCACUCCGGAGAUUAUCAGGGCAAGAUAUUCUCCAUAUGUUGGACAUUUUGUCUCAGCAAUGAGAAAAGUAACUGAGACAGAGCCACUCACUAUACCAUCUUGGAAAACCCUGAUUCCCACCUCCGCAUGUCACUGGGUCUGGUCAGCGCUCCCAGGGUACCGUUAGAAAAGCCUUUGAAGACGGAGCUGUUUCAUUCUCCAAGAGGGUGGAGCUUCCUGCUCUGAGUACUUGGAACUUGACCUGUUCCAAAGCUCUGCCAUACAGGCCUUCAGUACUGCAGAUCUGAGACAUAAAGACUACAUAUCACAGAAGGGCAGCUGUCUGUUUAUUAUUCUAACAUCACUUUUGUAAGGAUUAUAAACAUGCAUAAUUGGAACAGAAUUAUCACAAGUAAAUGUUAUUGCUAUGGACUGAAAACACAACACAAACAAAAGCAAUUCCAUUUGUGGGCGGAAAUGAUAAUAUAAGGCUAUAUAAUUUUUGUGUGCUGCAGUAAUUGUAGAAUGCAAAGAUAACAAAUACAACAUUACAGGUGGGCAUGAGAAUUGGGCAGAACAAAAAGUGAGUCAUAACUGUGAAGCCUCGCUUCCCACUUUGCCUACACAGAGACUGAAAGCAAGUGUCAGAAGUCAGUGCAUCUCACAUUGCAAAGUGCCUGUGACUCCCCCGGGAUCUUGCUAAAAUGCAGAUUCGGGCUCAGGGGGUCUAAGGCCAGCCUAAGAUUACACACUUCACAUGCUCUCUGGUGACACCACUGGUGCUGGCCCCUGGGCUACAGGUGGAGAAGCAAAGGACAGAGCAAGGCUCAAGCCAAAUCCUCAUUGGGCCAGGCCAGGGAGGCAGCCCAGUGCCUGAUGGGAAAGGCUCAGUUGUGUCCAGUCCCUGGGGCCAAGGAAAUCAAGGCCACAAUAAAGAUGACAGCAGGAGCUCAGAGCUGAGAUGCCAGGGCCCCAUGGCUAGCACCUCCCUCCCCUUAGGGAGCUCUGGAGCACAGGGGCCUGAGUCUGGGGUGGAGCUGGAAGUAACAGCUCCACCCUUGAUGGGAGGCCUUGGCAGAGACUCCAGCCAAGGUGCCCCCACCCGGGCAGCAGCGGAGCCAGCCAAGGCCCCGUGCAACUGGCCGAUCCCCGGGGGCUCUUAGAUUUCUCCUGAGGGCCAGGCCCCUUCUGCUUGGCCCACAGCAGCUGCUAAGCUUCUGG